AGUGAACGCUGGCGGUAGGCCUAACACAUGCAAGUCGAACGGCAGCACAGUAAGAGCUUGCUCUUACGGGUGGCGAGUGGCGGACGGGUGAGGAAUACAUCGGAAUCUACUUUUUCGUAGGGGAUAACGUAGGGAAACUUACGCUAAUACCGCAUACGACCUACGGGUGAAAGCAGGGGAUCUUCGGACCUUGCGCGAUUGAAUGAGCCGAUGUCGGAUUAGCUAGUUGGCGGGGUAAAGGCCCACCAAGGCGACGAUCCGUAGCUGGUCUGAGAGGAUGAUCGGCGACACUGGAACUGAGACAAGGUCCAGACUCCUAAGGGACGCAGCAGUCGGGAAUAUUGGACAUCAGGCGCAAGUCUGAUCCAGCCAUACCGCGUGGGUGACGGAGGCCUUCGGGUUGUGAAGCCCUUUUGUUGGGAAAGAAAAGCAGCAGGUUAAUACCCCGCUGUUCUGACGGUACCCGGAGAAUAAGCACCGGCUAACUUCGUG
rnacentral:rRNA from 1 species